AUUGAACGCUGGCGGCAGGCCUAACACAUGCAAGUCGAGCGGUAACACAGAGAGCUUGCUCUCGGGUGACGAGCGGCGGACGGGUGAGUAAUGUCUGGGAAACUGCCUGAUGGAGGGGGAUAACUACUGGAAACGGUAGCUAAUACCGCAUAAUGUCGCAAGACCAAAGAGGGGGACCUUAGGGCCUCUUGCCAUCGGAUGUGCCCAGAUGGGAUUAG
rnacentral:rRNA from 1 species